AUAUAUGCUUUGAUAAGGAUAGUAGCAAAAUAAGUUUAUUAAAGAGAGAUAAUCAUUUGGUGUGAGAUUAUCAUAAAUAGUUUUGUGAAGAUCACCUUUGAGCAUAAUACCUGAACAGAGUAGGGUAUUACGUGAAGACGUUAUACUUAUUAAGUGACAAGAAGUAUUUUUACUUUUUGUAAUUUGGGUGGUACCGCGGAAAUUUCGUCCCUAAG
rnacentral:ncRNA from 1 species